rnacentral:lncRNA from 1 species
AUCAUGGGGGCAGAUACCCUCAUGCUGUUCUCAUGAUACUGAGUGAGUUCUCACGAGAUCUGAUGGUUUUAUAAGGCGCUUUCCCCUCAUUCGCUCUGCAUUUCUUGCUGCCACCACGUGAAGAAGGAUAUGUUUGCUUCCCCUUCCGUCAUGAUCUACUGCUGGGUUAGGGUCUCCCUGACCUAGCUGGUCUCAGCAAGUGGCGUCCAUCGUGGGGACUCAAAUCCAGGUCGAAGGGUUGCCAGAACAAUGGUUGGAGUGGAAAACUAGCUGGAGGACACUCGAGUACUCUUAAAGCAAUCCCUGUGGCCAAAAUCAACAGCCGAUUUGGAUACCAUCAAGACACCUGAAACCUUAUCAUGAGCCAGAUGCAGAGGAAGAGAUUCCAGGAGGAUCCCGAGGACCCCCGGUUGCAGCCAUGUCAAGACUGACGCUGCGGAGGACCCCAACUGUCACGAGCAACACCCAUCGAACACAGCCACCCACCUGGGGACAGAACAGGAAGCUGUCACAGAUGGCGGAAGAAAACCUGAGGAAAGCGGGACAACCAGUCACAAUGAAUAAUUUAAUGAUAGCUCUGAUAGCGGUUAUCACCACCGCCUCUGCAGAUGUGGAUCCUGACUCCUGCAAGAAGUAGCUCACCGUGACAAAGCUGCCUUUGCUUUUAUCGAUUUGCAAAUCAGAGAAGGGGGACAUAUUGGGAGCAGGCCCCCCAAAAUCUGGCCAUAAACUGGCCCCAAAACUGGACUGGCCAUAAACUGGCCCCAAAACUGGACU